AUUGAACGCUGGCGGCAGGCUUAACACAUGCAAGUCGAGCGAGCGGCGGACGGGUGAGUAAUGUCUGGGAAACUGCCUGAUGGAGGGGGAUAACUACUGGAAACGGUAGCUAAUACCGCAUACCAUCAGAUGUGCCCAGAUGGGAUUCGCUAGUAGGUGGGGUAUUGGCUCACCUAGGCGACCAUCCCUAGCUGGUCUGAGAGGAUGACCGGCAACACGGGAACUGAGACACGGUCCAGACUCCUACGGGAGGCAGCAGUGGGGAAUCUUGCACAAUGGGCGAAAGCCUGAUGGAGCCAUGCCGCGUGUGUGAGGAAGGCCUUCGGGUUGUAAAGCACUUUCAGCGGGGAGGCGUUACUCGCAGAGAAAGCACCGGCUAACUCCGUGCCAGCAGCCGCGGUAAUUC
rnacentral:rRNA from 1 species